rnacentral:tRNA from 1 species
GGGCAGGUGCCCGAGUGGCUAAAGGGGGCGGUCUGUAAAAUCGCUGCGGAAUGCUACGGAGGUUCGAAUCCUCCCCUGCCCACCA